rnacentral:lncRNA from 1 species
CUGUUACUUGAAAUCAAGUGGUUCUAACUUAUGGAAGAUGGUUUCAUCAGUGUCUAGACAUGCUAACCUUUAAAGUCUUAUUGUUUUUGGAGAGUUUCCACCCCUCCAGGUUCGAAGCCAUUACCAGAGUGCUGCUGAAGCCCCUUGCAGAUGUGAGGGGACCUCUCAUGCCAAGUCUUAUGGCUGCAAAGACAUCGCAUUCCACAGUGUGGUGUCAGAGAAGAGGUAAAGGGCAUAAUUUUUCUUUUUUGGGAAAUUGCUGAUUUUUUUUCCCUAGUUAUAUAAGCAAUAACUGUUCAAUAUAAAAAUUUCAGGAUGUAUAGAAAACCAUAAACAGGAAAUGAAAAACAAUAACCUGUUAUUCCAACUCUUGGAGAUAGCCACCUUUAGCAUCCUGGUGGGUAGUUUUCCAGGAAGGAAUUUUUUAAAAAGGAGAAACAAAACCCUAAUGAGGCUCCUCCUGUUACCUAGACCCAAGGGAGCAAGUCAGAAGCCAGCUAGAAAUGCAGAUGGAGACCUUGCCAAGUUUUAACUAGAAGGGGCUUGUGGGGUACAUUCAAAGGAGGUGUCAUUCCUACCCUCAGUGAGACCAGUUAAUAACAUCCAGGCAAAAUUAAAAUUUGGGAAUGGAAAAAAAACAGGAGAAAUGCUUAACACUUUUUUUUUUUCUCUUUGAAGGAGAUACUGAGGGAAUCUGCCUAUAGGGCUGUAGGCAAAGGGCUCAGAGGAAACUGUAAACAAAACAGAGUUCUGUCCAGCCCUAGUUUUCAUAGGCAGUUGCUACUUUUUAGUGAAAGCUAGUAAGGAAUUUUCAGACAUUCAAAAAUGUAAUCCAUGGGGAAAAAACCCCUACAAUGUAAGUAAUAAAAUUAUCACCCAUUUUAUGGUUGAAGAAAUGGAGACUCACGUGAGGUAACUUGCCUAAGGACACACACCAAGGGAAAGGAGGCAGAGCUGGGAGUCAAAUCCAAAAUUGCCUCAAAAUCAUUACUUUUCCAUCACAGCACAUUGUUUUGAGGCACCUUAUUCUGGAAAAACAGGUAAAGUCCUGGCUUCCAUCAAGGUACAAGGAUCUGUAUACUCUUACAGAAUGUAUCCUCCAAAUUUGGAGACUCAACCAUAAACUAUCAUCCUCCGAAAUGGAUGCUAAGAAUGUGGAAGAAAACAUUCUCCAAAUCUUCUUAGGGAAUAAGCUGGCCUGGUAGAUUAUUUAUAAAUGUAACUCUCAAGAUGACAGCAUUCCCAUCUCCUCCAGCAGUCCUGGGAGAGAACUCUCUCCAGUCACCUUGGGAAGAUUUCCCUCUCCUACAACAGCUAACAUCAGUGGAGCUGCCAGCAUAUUCACUCUAAGGACACAACAAAAGGCACUAUCUUUGAAGAGCGUGAACCCUUACCAGAUGGAAUCUGCUGACACCUUGAUCUUGGACUUCCCAGCCUCCAGAACUGGCUGGUUUCCUCUACCAGAAAAUGGGGAAAGACAAACUGGUUUCGCAACCAGUGAAACCAUUCAGCCAAUAGCGAGAAAUAAACAGACAAGCUCCUUUAAAAAUGA